CAUUUUUACCAUUAUUAGCCAAAAACAAUUGGAACAUGUGGAAAAUAAGGUGAUUUCAUGUAAAAAAUAUAAAGAAAACAACACUGCAACAACAAAAUCAAAACAAUAAUACAACGAAAAGAGAACACUAAAGAAAUAUCAGAAAAAUAUAAAUAGAGAAACAAAAAUAACAAAAUAAAGAGCGAAAAUAAGUGUUAAACGAAAGAAAAAAAAAUAUGAUAAUUUAAGAGAAUUACUCUCACUAUUAUUGUUGUGUUUAUUUUUAACCCCUAAAAGGCGAAAAUGCGCAAGUUCAACACACCAAGUUGUGUUGUGUAUAUUCUUGUGUAUAUUGUGCGAGGGCGAAACAAAGUGGCAAGUGAAACAAAACACUCCUUGAAUUUUUGCUCAAACGAAAUUGUCUGCAUUGUCACCGUUUCAAUCGCAAGUUGGAUUCAGGCCGAAAUAAACGUUAAACGAAAACGUAUGUUAAUGCUACGCGCGCGUUUAUUAUUAUAAUUCUUAUUAAAGUUUUAAGGGUGUUUAAAGCACACAAAACAAGUAGAAAAAAAAUCAAGAAGAAUAAAUAUAUACAGAAAAUAAAUCUCUUUAAUAAAAAAAAGAAAAGAAUUUGUGUGUGUUUAAUAAAAAAAAAAGAAAUUUACUUUAAUUUAUGAAAAUUUAAGCAAAAUAUAAGAAAACGAAUAGAAAAACGUUAAAUUUCUAAAUAAAAGAAAAGAUUUCACAUUGUUCGAAGAAAAUUAAGGAAUAGUUGUCAUCAUCGCAACAAUACCAAACAUAAGUCAGGAAAUAUUAAAAAAAAGAAAGUCCUCAAAAAACCCGCUAAUUGAACAUAUUUAAAGAAAAUCAUUAAAAUUUUCGAAAAAAAGACCAAGAUAAAAAAUGUUUGCAAAUGUCUAAAGUAAACUCGCAGCCGGGAUAUUAGACUCUUUUUAAAACAUAAUUUUCGGUUGAUUUGUAUAUAUGUAAACAAUAUUCGGUAUUUUUUAUAGUCGUUGUCUAUUUGUCGUAUUCGUCGUCAUUGUCGUUGUUGUAAUUAUUUUUGUGUCGUCAUCGUAUUCGUUGUUGUCUCGUAAACGUGUGUAAUUAAUCCCUCUAAUAAUAUUAAAAAAAAAUAUAGUGUCCUAUCCAUAACGGUGUAUUAAAAGAAAGUGCGUAUUUGUAUAAAAAGAAAUCGGUUUAAGCUGUAAUAUUUAUAAGAAAUUUCCUAUAAUACGAAAAGCAUUUCUUGUAAGACGCUAUAUUUGUAGAUAAAUUAACUAAAACAAGUUUACAAAACGUGUAUAACAAUACAGUUUUAAUAUACAACAAAAACUGAAACCCAAAAUUUAAGAAAAACCUUAAACAAAUUGUAUAUAACAACAACAACAGCAAAAAUAACGAAAAAUUUAAGUCCCUUUGAGGAAAAGAAAAACGGCGAAACAUAUUUGAACAAAAGCGAAAAGAAAAUAUUAUACAAAUAUUGUUUAUAUGUAUUAGUGUGAGUGAGUCUGUGUCAUUUACAGUUGUAACGGUAUUUAUAUAAAAACCAAAAUAAACAAAUAAAAAUCAACCACCCCCCAUUAUUUUGUUUGGAAAUAUUCAUCUUUACUGUUAACUCUCAACUUUAACUAACAGUUUUUAUUAGCCGCCAUUUUUUAAAUACUUUGUUUGUGGAUUUAAAAACACUGUAAAAACAACAACUACAGCACCAAUUUGAAAUCCCAUUUAUGGCAGUUGGAAUAAAAAUGGCCUUCUAUUAUAAUUUUAUGAAAUCCUUUUAAUUUCAUUUUGGGAAUUAAUUCACUCUACAGUUUAUCACAAUUUACAUAGCUGGAGCAUUAAGGAAUUAACGGGAUUGAAGUGAUCAUUGGGAAAAUUGCGGAAUAUAAAGGUUCGUUAUCCAACCUAUAUAUUAUUAAAUGACAUCAAUUUUGUAAGUAUAUAUUAACUUAUAAAAGUAAAAUCUCAAGAUAUUUUCACUAUAACUAUUCGUAUGUUAC